UGUCUCAGGCUACCGGCUCUAGCACCCCUGUGUCCUCAUCAACUUAUAAUAACUGAUAAUUCAUGCUCUAGCUCGAGAAUCUUGUUACGUCAUGUGCCUAUUACCCUGAUCGUAACCCAAUUCCCAGUCCAAUCUUCGCCAACGUGGGUAACUUGAUGAACUGGUGGGGAAGAGAUGACAAUGCUGGUCUUAAAUAUCCUUAGCAGACUGCUCCAGCGAUAAUAGCUGAACAAGCAGUUUAUCUCCGACCAGGAAGAGGAGAGUUGGACACUUUUAUCUGCGCUCCCUAACAACAAGAGGGGCCGCGUCCUUCAGAAUCAUACACCUAACAUACGCACAUACAUACGCACCAACAUUCCUCUGUCUAUUCACUAUUGUAUUACUUUUGCAUAUAAAUAAAAACCAGGGCAGUGGCAGAGCGCUG
ensembl:lncRNA